GUUUGAUCCUGGCUCAGAUUGAACGCUGGCGGAAUGCUUUACACAUGCAAGUCGAACGGCAGCACGGGAGCUUGCUCCUGGUGGCGAGUGGCGAACGGGUGAGUAAUGCGUCGGAACGUACCGAGUAAUGGGGGAUAACGCAGCGAAAGUUGUGCUAAUACCGCAUACGCCCUGAGGGGGAAAGUGGGGGAUCGUAAGACCUCACGUUAUUCGAGCGGCCGACGUCUGAUUAGCUAGUUGGUGGGGUAAUGGCUCACCAAGGCGACGAUCAGUAGCGGGUCUGAGAGGAUGAUCCGCCACACUGGGACUGAGACACGGCCCAGACUCCUACGGGAGGCAGCAGUGGGGAAUUUUGGACAAUGGGGGCAACCCUGAUCCAGCCAUUCCGCGUGAGUGAAGAAGGCCUUCGGGUUGUAAAGCUCUUUCAGCUGGAACGAAACGGUACGCUCUAACAUAGCGUGCUACUGACGGUACCAGCAGAAGAAGCACCGGCUAACUACGUGCCAGCAGCCGCGGUAAUACGUAGGGUGCGAGCGUUAAUCGGAAUUACUGGGCGUAAAGCGUGCGCAGGCGGAUUGUUAAGCGAGAUGUGAAAUCCCCGGGCUUAACCUGGGAAUGGCAUUUUGAACUGGCAGUCUAGAGUGUGUCAGAGGGGGGUGGAAUUCCACGUGUAGCAGUGAAAUGCGUAGAGAUGUGGAGGAACACCGAUGGCGAAGGCAGCCCCCUGGGAUAACACUGACGCUCAUGUACGAAAGCGUGGGUAGCAAACAGGAUUAGAUACCCUGGUAGUCCACGCCCUAAACGAUGUCAACUGGUUGUUGGGGGAGUGAAAUCCCUUAGUAACGAAGCUAACGCGUGAAGUUGACCGCCUGGGGAGUAC
rnacentral:rRNA from 1 species